CAUAACGACUCUCGGCAACGGAUAUCUCGGCUCUCGCAUCGAUGAAGAACGUAGCGAAAUGCGAUACUUGGUGUGAAUUGCAGAAUCCCGUGAACCAUCGAGUCUUUGAACGCAAGUUGCGCCCGAAGCCGUCAGGCCGAGGGCACGUCUGCCUGGGCGUCACGCA
rnacentral:rRNA from 1 species